AGGGACACCAUGAGCCCUUUCUGGUGGAAGUCAAGCAAGGGGUUCUUGGCGUACUCCAGGAAGAGGCUGUUGUUGCUGAGCGGGGACAUGGCGAUGGGAAUUCGGGCCAGGAAGUACAGGUACUGCAGCACUGGGCUCUGCAAAGGUGAGCAGAGGUACCACGGUAGGGAUAAAGUUGCUGCACCUUCCACCUCUCCGAGGUCACUCCUCAGAUCAGGCCAGGUCCCAGCCAGGGAAGAGAUGGGCCAGCCAGCCAUCAAUGCUUCAGGCUAAGGAGCACGAGAAGCCAAGGCACUGUCUGAUACCAGCUCAGCUGGCUCCAGUGAUAACAAACAUAUUCUGUGAUGGAUCUGUGAGGCUAAACCCCCAAGAUCUAAUCCGUUGCUCAGACACAUCCCCAAACAUGCGUGGAGAAGCCCAGAGAAGCAUUUAACAUCAGCCUGAAGCUGGGCUGUGUCAGUGUACAGCACAGGCACAGGAGGUGCAGGCUGUGCUCCUCUCCUUGCCCGGGCUCCUGGGAACUCACCGCUUUUCCACUGUGGCACUGGACUCCUGGAGCAUCAUGUGCAGUGUCAUUUCCUGGCGUGAGAUGGGGCAGAUCUCUUCCACAUCAAAAUGAGAGAUUUCCCCCCUGACCUCCUCAUCCUUCACCUCGGAGGCGAAGACCUUCUCGGCGAAGGAGCGCAGGGACUCGUCCAUCUCUGCAAAGAGGAGCUCAGUGUCCCACAGGGAGCUGAUUCCCAGCCACUGGAACAGGCAGGUGCCCCUUGCAGGCUCAGCUGCCAUCUCCUCGUGGCCCCCACACCCUAGAGAAGACUCUGAGCCACCUCCCAAAUGUGCAGCAAGGCUGGGCCAGACUUGCUGGGCUGGAGACAUACCUUGAUACCCCCAGUAGAGCAGGAAAAGUACUUAGAGUGCAAGAGUGCUGCCAAAAGGGCCAGAGAAAGCAGGUCCCUGGGAGGGGCAGCUAUGGGAGCAUGCACUGGGUGGGAGAGGUGGCAAAAACCUUACAGCUCCAGGGAGCCCAAAAUCCACUUGCUGCAGCAGUCAGGGGGAAGACAGAGGUGUGGAUGGGGGCAGAGCUGGCAGCCCGAGCACUCAGCUCCCACCAUGCCAGGGCAGCCCCAGCUGGGCACUGCCAGC